CGGAAGAGACCUAUGUCUUCCCAAUUGAUGAGGACAACUAUGAUGAUUCUUUAGCAAAGCACCGACAAGAUAGUGUGGUUGAUUCCAUGCUACCAACUCGUGCGAGCAGCCGGAAAAGAGAGGUAUCUUCAUUAUUGAGCAAUGAAGAUUAUGUUCUGUACGAUAGUAAUAAGAAGAGAAAGAAAUAUAGGACUCCACCGAAGUUUACCAACGAUUCCAAGGACAAAAAGAAUACAAAGAGGAAAAAC
rnacentral:lncRNA from 1 species